rnacentral:rRNA from 1 species
GAUGAACGCUGGCUACAGGCUUAACACAUGCAAGUCGUGGGGAAACGGCAUUAUGUGCUUGCACAUUCUGGACGUCGACCGGCGCACGGGUGAGUAUCGCGUAUCCAACCUGCCCCUUACUUGGGGAUACCCCGUUGAAAGACGGCCUAAUACCCGAUGUGUUUCAUUGACGGCAUCCGAUAUGAAACAAAGGUUUUCCGGUAAGGGAUGGGGAUGCGUCUGAUUAGCUUGUUGGCGGGGCAACGGUCCACCAAGGCGACGAUCAGUAGGGGUUCUGAGAGGAAGGUCCCCCACAUUGGAACUGAGACACGGUCCAAACUCCUACGGGAGGCAGCAGUGAGGAAUAUUGGUCAAUGGACGCAAGUCUGAACCAGCCAAGUAGCGUGCAGGAUGACGGCCCUAUGGGUUGUAAACUGCUUUUAUGUGGGAAUAAAGUGGCGCACGUGUGCGCCAUUGCAUGUACCUCAUGAAUAAGGACCGGCUAAUUCCGUGCCAGCAGCCGCGGUAAUACGGAAGGUCCGGGCGUUAUCCGGAUUUAUUGGGUUUAAAGGGAGUGUAGGCGGUCUGUUAAGCGUGUUGUGAAAUUUAGGUGCUCAACAUUUAACUUGCAGCGCGAACUGUCAGACUUGAGUACACGCAGCGCAGGCGGAAUUCAUGGUGUAGCGGUGAAAUGCUUAGAUAUCAUGAGGAACUCCGAUCGCGAAGGCAGCCUGCGGGAGUGUUACUGACGCUUAAGCUCGAAGGUGCGGGUAUCGAACAGG